rnacentral:rRNA from 1 species
UGGGGAAUAUUGGACAAUGGGCGCAAGCCUGAUCCAGCCAUGCCGCGUGAGUGAUGAAGGCCUUAGGGUUGUAAAGCUCUUUCGCCCACGACGAUAAUGACGGUAGUGGGAGAAGAAGCCUCGGCUAACUCCGUGCCAGCAGCCGCGGUAAGACGGAGGAGGCUAGCGUUGUUCGGAAUUACUGGGCGUAAAGCGCACGUAGGCGGUUGCGUAAGUCGGGGGUGAAAGCCCGGGGCUUAACCUCGGAAAUGCCUUCGAGACUGCGCAGCUUGAGACUGGAAGAGGAGAGCGGAAUUCCCAGUGUAGAGGUGAAAUUCGUAGAUAUUGGGAAGAACACCAGUGGCGAAGGCGGCUCUCUGGUCCAGUUCUGACGCUGAGGUGCGAAAGCGUGGGGAGCAAACAGG